CUCAUCUAAAAGACAGAGGGAAACCAGAUGGGAAAAGAGCACAAACUCUCAGCAGGAAUUUCAGGGAUUUUUUUGUUUCUGAAACAAAGAUCUCCUCCCAUUGCUCUAGGCUAAGCAGAAAGGUGGUUCCAUCCACCUGAGGCAUUCUGAGGGCAAGACUGAAAGGCAAGGGUUAGCUUCUGUGCUGGAGCUGCAGCUUCCCAUGGCAUCAGGAUCUGUGAGCCCCCCCCCAUGGGAGCAUAUGCCCCCAUCCCCUCCACCCCAGUGGGCACCCGAGGCUGCAGGGGUACCUACCUCAGCUAUUGCUGCCUGCAACACCUUGGCUACUUCUGAUACAGCAAUUCUUUCUGCUGCCCGGGCAAAUGCUUCAGCAUCUCUUUCUGCCUCUGUUUUUUCUGAUACUUCCACCAUUGUCUCCUUUGCUCCUUCAGGAAUGACCACCUUUCCACACAGACCUGUUCUCGCUGGGCUUUCCACCUCCCCUGUUGCUGCUGCUUUUUCUACUCCUUCCACCUCAGCUUGUGAUGCUGUUGCAUCCUUUCCUGUUUCCUCUGGUGCCAUGACAGCCAGCAGCUCCAUGUUCCCUGCAAGGUCACCAGCAGCCAGCAUGGCAGGAGGACCCUUCCCAGGGGACAGCACAGGCCCGUGCAGUCGUAGAGCUGGCCUGGAACCUCAGUGAGUCCAUUUGCAAGGUAGCUUUCAUCAUAUGCAGUACAGCAACGUCAAAUCACAAGAAACAUUUCACUCCUCUGCAACAUACUGUAAUGUGAGAGAACACAGAGGUUACUUGCAACAGACAACAAGCAUAAAGAAGUAUCUGUUUUAACCAGCUGUCCUUUUUGUUAGAAAAGGUCUUACGUCAGAGCUGAGAUGCCUGAAGGUCAGCCAAGUUAGUCACUGGGCCAGAGCAGGGCAUCCUGGCUCCUAUUCCCUGCUUGGAAGGGUGCUUUUGUCUCUUAGUCAAAAGGAGGUGAACCAGGUUCCUGGUUCAAUACUGACUCACUGCAUAACCUUGAACAAGAUACUGCACCACACCU
rnacentral:lncRNA from 1 species